UAGGGAAUCUUCCACAAUGGGCGAAAGCCUGAUGGAGCAACGCCGCGUGUGUGGUGAAGGGUUUCGGCUCGUAAAACACUGUUGUAAGAGAAGAAUGACAUUGAGAGUAACUGUUCAAUGUGUGACGGUAUCUUACCAGAAAGGAACGGCUAAAUACGUGCCUG
rnacentral:rRNA from 1 species